rnacentral:rRNA from 1 species
GUGACUGCGUACCUUUUGUAUAAUGGGUCAGCGACUUAUAUUCUGUAGCAAGGUUAACCGUAUAGGGGAGCCGGAGGGAAACCGAGUCUUAACCGGGCGUUAAGUUGCAGGGUAUAGACCCGAAACCCGGUGAUCUAGCCAUGGGCAGGUUGAAGGUUGGGUAACACUAACUGGAGGACCGAACCGACUAAUGUUGAAAAAUUAGCGGAUGACCUGUGGCUGGGGGUGAAAGGCCAAUCAAACCGGGAGAUAGCUGGUUCUCCCCGAAAGCUAUUUAGGUAGCGCCUCGUGAAUUCAUCUCCGGGGGUAGAGCACUGUUUCGGCUAGGGGGCCAUCCCGGCUUACCAACCCGAUGCAAACUGCGAAUACCGGAGAAUGUUAUCACGGGAGACACACGGCGGGUGCUAACGUCCGUCGUGAAGAGGGAAACAACCCAGACCGCCAGCUAAGGUCCCAAAGUCAUGGUUAAGUGGGAAACGAUGUGGGAAGGCCCAGACAGCCAGGAUGUUGGCUUAGAAGCAGCCAUCAUUUAAAGAAAGCGUAAUAGCUCACUGGUCGAGUCGGCCUGCGCGGAAGAUGUAACGGGGCUAAACCAUGCACCGAAGCUGCGGCAGCGAACGUAUCACCCAAGACAACUUUACGGAGUUGACGAUUGACGGAGCGAAGCGACGUCAAAGCGUUCAUUAAAGUCGAGUUGGCUUAGGGAUACGUUCGUUGGGUAGGGGAGCGUUCUGUAAGCCUGUGAAGGUGUGUCGUGAGGCAUGCUGGAGGUAUCAGAAGUGCGAAUGCUGACAUAAGUAACGAUAAAGCGGGUGAAAAGCCCGCUCGCCGGAAGACCAAGGGUUCCUGUCCAACGUUAAUCGGGGCAGGGUGAGUCGACCCCUAAGGCGAGGCCGAAAGGCGUAGUCGAUGGGAAACGGGUUAAUAUUCCCGUACUUGGUGUUACUGCGAAGGGGGGACGGAGAAGGCUAUGUUGGCCGGGCGACGGUUGUCCCGGUUUAAGCGUGUAGGUGUGUGUUCCAGGUAAAUCCGGUUCACUUUAACACUGAGGCGUGACGACGAGGCACUACGGUGCUGAAGCAACAAAUGCCCUGCUUCCAGGAAAAGCCUCUAAGCAUCAGGUAACACGAAAUCGUACCCCAAACCGACACAGGUGGUCAGGUAGAGAAUACCAAGGCGCUUGAGAGAACUCGGGUGAAGGAACUAGGCAAAAUGGUGCCGUAACUUCGGGAGAAGGCACGCUGACACGUAGGUGAAGUGAUUUACUCAUGGAGCUGAAGUCAGUCGAAGAUACCAGCUGGCUGCAACUGUUUAUUAAAAACACAGCACUGUGCAAACACGAAAGUGGACGUAUACGGUGUGACGCCUGCCCGGUGCCGGAAGGUUAAUUGAUGGGGUCAGCGUAAGCGAAGCUCCUGAUCGAAGCCCCGGUAAACGGCGGCCGUAACUAUAACGGUCCUAAGGUAGCGAAAUUCCUUGUCGGGUAAGUUCCGACCUGCACGAAUGGCGUAAUGAUGGCCAGGCUGUCUCCACCCGAGACUCAGUGAAAUUGAACUCGCUGUGAAGAUGCAGUGUACCCGCGGCAAGACGGAAAGACCCCGUGAACCUUUACUAUAGCUUGACACUGAACAUUGAGCCUUGAUGUGUAGGAUAGGUGGGAGGCUUUGAAGUGUGGACGCCAGUCUGCAUGGAGCCGACCUUGAAAUACCACCCUUUAAUGUUUGAUGUUCUAACGUGGACCCGUAAUCCGGGUUGCGGACAGUGUCUGGUGGGUAGUUUGACUGGGGCGGUCUCCUCCUAAAGAGUAACGGAGGAGCACGAAGGUUGGCUAAUCCUGGUCGGACAUCAGGAGGUUAGUGCAAUGGCAUAAGCCAGCUUGACUGCGAGCGUGACGGCGCGAGCAGGUGCGAAAGCAGGUCAUAGUGAUCCGGUGGUUCUGAAUGGAAGGGCCAUCGCUCAACGGAUAAAAGGUACUCCGGGGAUAACAGGCUGAUACCGCCCAAGAGUUCAUAUCGACGGCGGUGUUUGGCACCUCGAUGUCGGCUCAUCACAUCCUGGGGCUGAAGUAGGUCCCAAGGGUAUGGCUGUUCGCCAUUUAAAGUGGUACGCGAGCUGGGUUUAGAACGUCGUGAGACAGUUCGGUCCCUAUCUGCCGUGGGCGCUGGAGAACUGAGGGGGGCUGCUCCUAGUACGAGAGGACCGGAGUGGACGCAUCACUGGUGUUCGGGUUGUCAUGCCAAUGGCACUGCCCGGUAGCUAAAUGCGGAAGAGAUAAGUGCUGAAAGCAUCUAAGCACGAAACUUGCCCCGAGAUGAGUUCUCCCUGAGACUUAGAGUCUCCUGAAGGAACGUUGAAGACGACGACGUUGAUAGGCCGGGUGUGUAAGCGCAGCGAUGCGUUGAGCUAACCGGUACUAAUGAACCGUGAGGCUUAACCUUACAACGCCGAAG